UUGAAUCUUUGACACAGAGUUCAUGCUUCAGAGUUCAGAUGUUCAGAGUUCAUGGACCGUUGAGGCUGCGAACUUUAAGGCUGCAGACCCUGAAUUGGGAUACAGCCAUCGACUGUGGAAACCUUGCAAGUGGAUCGUAAAGAUGCAAAUAUCAAAUUGGAGUUCUGCCUCCAGGCCAGAAUUGCAGGAAUGCACCACGUGUUGGCUGUUUCACUGCCCUCUGUGCCCCACUCUCAGCCCUGCUGUCAGGGCAAAGAUUGAGCAGCAUAUAAAUGGACACAUUCAAAGUGCUUUGCCUUUCAAAGACAAAAUGAUGUGCCGGUGCACUUUCACUGCCCUUCUGUAACAUGACAGUCAUACAGCGUGGGGAUAUGGCAAGGCAAUUAUUGUCAUGUCAGCAUUCAGGACUGCUCCCCACUGAACUCUCCGUGGAGCCUCGUCUCCCUCUCCAUGUCUCGUCUCCAGCAUCUAAACCAUUUCCUGAAUCUUGGGUAGAACAUUCAUGUGCUCCACCCUCUGUGCUAAAUGAAACUGGGGCUUGUGGAAAGUCCAUGAAAAUGAAACGUCCUCACUGUGGUCUUAGUCUUC